rnacentral:lncRNA from 10 species
UGCUCAGCCUCUGGAUAUUAAUCCGCUGGGCCAGUGGCCACCUGAAUAAAAUCCUCCUAUUUCACCCUUUGGUCUCUCCAGUCUCCUGAUUCCCACAACAUUUUGGCAAGCCAGCCAGGAGCGGAGAUGACAGGUUUACUGUCUCCUUUGCCUGUGGAACUGGAGCCCCAGGCCAGGGGAGGCCUGUGACCCCAGGGACCAUCAGGAGAACUUCAACCCAGAGGGGAGAUCAGCUCUCCUGUGAUCCAGUGCCCCUACCCAACAGCGCAACAGAACCUAAAGGGGCUACAGGAUGAUUCCAGGAACAGCAUGCUUCAGGACCACAUUGCAGGAAUCGUGCCUUAGAUCCACCACAGUUGGCUGAAACUGGCAGCCCAGGACAAGUGGACCAGCCAGCAAGACUCAGACCAUCCAAACCAGCUGAUCCUAUGACAGGACCGAGGUGCCAGUGAAAGUGACAACAGCCCUGCUCUGGUGACUCCAGAAGCCGACCAGUCUAUGCACAGCUGAAGCUUGAGGAGACAGCAGUCCUGUUAGUCACCCCAGAAGCUGACUAGUCUAUGCACAGCCGAAGUUUCAUCUAGGAAGUAAAUGUAGUUAGAAAUCUUAAGCCCAGUAAUUUUCCUUGUAAUCUUAAUUGUUUUACUAUUAACCUGUCACUGUGCUCAACCUCCUCCCCUGGAUAAGGACCUCUGUUGUCCAUGCUGGGUAUGAACAUACUAUUCCUUACUUUGUUCUUGCUACUCCCUCUAUCCAUGUUAGAAGGAGGGGUAUGCGGA